AGAGAAAAAGUACAAUGAAUGGAGCCACGAAAAGAAAGGCCUUUCCCCCCAGGAUUGCCAUGAACUUCACACAAACUCACAGCAUCCUGCACAGUCAAGUCUCCACUGAGACAGCUCGACCAAGACACAGAACUCAUGAACACUGCAGCCAGGAGACCCACUCAUGCUGGGACUCGAGGCAGAACCAAGGAAUCCUUGCUCCUUUGUGUCUUUCUGGGGAACCUGGUAGCUGUCUGUCCUCCUCUGAACAUCUCAGAAUUCUUGUCCAGAGGCUGAAGCAGGAAGGACCUCGAGGGAGAUCAUCCACGCCAGCCUCCUUAAAGUUUUGAAAGUCACAGGCUCCUUUGAGAAACCGAUGAAAACUACUGACCCUCUCCCUGGAAGAAUGCCUCGGCACAGCCGCUCACUAUGGUCACACAGAUUCAGAACACCCUUGGACCCCCCAGACACACCGCCCAAGGAUGCCCUAGGAUUUCUUGUAAUCCCGCCCAGGAAGCUUGCCCCAUCAGCUACCCCCUCAAGGCCUAGAGGCUAAAUCAGGCCCAGCACCUCUGCUCCCUGUGGUCAGCCCACGCCUGUGUUUAUCCUGGUGAUACCAGUCAACGGCUUCAGCAAAGGAGGCUGAAAGAAAGCCAAGGUCAUCUUGUUCGAAGACAGGGGUUUAUAAAAGUUGGUGGGAGUGGGUACUUCGCGACUUGGAGGAUUAUGAACUGACUGAUUGUCUAGGAGCCUCAAACCUGGAAUUAAAAAAAAAAAAAUCAUGCCGGGGGCAGUGGCUCAUGCCUGUAAUCCCAUCACUUUGGUUAGGCCAAGGCAGGAGGAUCACUUAAGGUCAGGAGUUCGAAACCAGCCUGGCCAACCACAUCUCUACUAAAAAUACAAACAUUAGAUAGGCAUGGUGGCGUGUGCUUGUACUUCCAGCACCUCGGGAGGCUGAGGCAGGAGAAUUGCUUGAACCCAGGAGGCAGAGGCUGCAAUGAGCCAAGAUUGCACCACUGCACUCCAGCCUGGGCGACAGGGUGAGACCCUGUCAUUAAAAAAAAAAAAAAAAAAAAAAAUCAAUAACUAAUGCUCUUUUACCCAAAAGGAAUCAGGGAGAGAGGGUGGCAUUGGAGAGGGAGGGAGCAGGGGGAGGCAGGACUUAGGACGCAGGAGAGACUGCCCCCUUCUCUGCGCCCUGUGGGCUGCUCUGAAGGUCUCGGGGAGCCCAUGCACUUUGCACAACAGGUCACAAGGCAUUGAUUUCUGGGGUAGCGGAAUUACCCCUAACAAGACUGUAAACUAACAGUCCAGGAGAAGAAAUAAAAGGGCACAAAUGAAAUGCUGAGAGAAUCAUGGACUGACAGAAGUGAAGGAGGACCAGUAGAAACAGAGGUCUCAGUCACCUUGCCCACAUUCUCCCUGAACCUUCCAUGUCAGCCAGCCUGGUCCAGGCCUGGGCUCAUCAGCUGUUGUGCCCUGAAUGCUGCUGUGGGGCAGGUUCUAGGAGGGUUAGGGGUGUGCUGAUGACGAUCACGUCCUUGUCCUUCAAGAGCUCCCAACUGAGCUGUCAAGCCAGACACUAUGUAAAUAACUGCCAGGUGAGCUGCACUGAGGAAAGGAGCUCUUCCAGCUGGGGUGGUCAGUAAAGUCAUCACAGAGGGAUGGGACUUGAGGAAAUGGGGUCCCCAAGGUUGGUAGGUGAGAUGACAUAAACAAUGGCACAGAGGCCAGCAGGCACGAGCUGGAGGCAGCAACACAGAACAUGGGCCACUUCCACACCACCCCCGCCCUAGGGUAUCUUCCUGCCAUCAAACCUCAGUUUCAUUGCGAUCCACAUCUUCCAUUCUCCCCACUCCCCCUAGCCACCAAUACUUCUCACAAACGUGGAAGCCCUCUAUUCUAGAACACCGGAGAAGUGAGCACUCCCACAUUACACUCAUUCCAUAAAUGCUUUAUGUGCAUCUCCCAUGUGCCAGGCACUAUUCAAGGCCCUGUCUGAGGCUUAAGAGACACAGCAGUGAAAAGGAAAACAAUGUCUUGCCCUCAUUUGUCCUGGCAAAGAGCUUCUUAGAGUUAGAUCUCUGUUCCCAAACCCCUCCCAGGCUCCCACCCUCCUCAUUUUAUUAUCUUGCACUGUAUCUCUUGGAAAUGGACCCAAAGACCCAAGAGUGGUUCUGCCAAUACAGAGGACGAUGGGGCUGUCAGCCUGUCUAGGUCUCUAACCGUUUGGUUAAUGCUGCUGAUAAAGGUAGGAACUAGGUCUUGUUUUAAAUAUUGAUCAUAAAUACUCCGGUCUCCAAAUAUGAAGGCACAAAGGCUCAUAUUUUCACUGUAAGUAACAGAACCCCAACUCAAACUAGCUUCACCACAAGUGAAAAUUGUUUAUAAGAAACUAAGUGCAGUCACUUUGGGAGGCCAAGGUGGUGGAUCACCUGAGGUCGGGAGUUCAAGACCAGCCUGGACAAUGGUCUUUAGUAGAGACCAGCCUGGCCCUGUCUCUACUAAAAAUACAAAAAAUUAGCCAGGCACAGUGGCAGGCGCCUGUAAUCCCAGCUACUUGGGAGACUGAGGCAGGAUAAUCACUUCAACCCAGGAGGUGGAGGUUGCACAGUGAGCUGAGAUCCCACCACUGCAUCCAGCCUGGGCAAGACAGAGAAAGACUCUAUCUCAAAACAAAAAACAAACAAACAAACAAAACAAAAACAAUCUAAGUGCAAGGAUGAGCUGGGGUUCAGAAACAACUGGAAUUGGGGUCCACUCUCCCUGCAUCAUUCAUACUCUACACGGCUCCAUUCCUUCAGUCUUUCUCUGUCUUUAGACUGCCUUCUCCAGGACAUGUGGGAAAAAAUGUGAAUAAGGUGGACUUCUCUCUUAGUCCCCACCCUGAAGUCCAGGAAAGAGACAGAUGGGUCCAACCUGGGCCAAGGUGCUCACCCCUGGGUCUAUCAGUUGUCAGCUGAGAUAAGGAUGAGACAACAGUUCCUAACACAGCCUGAUGGAUGGAGUUGAGGAGAAGUAAUUCUGUGCAGAUGAUGUCCAAUAUGGGCACUUGGCGAUCUAGUCCAACGUCUCCAUUUUCAGAGGAAAUGGAGGUACAAAUAGGGAUGACGCCUUGUCCAGUGAAUUAAUGAUUAAACUCAAGGAAUUCUGGAGUGCUUUGCAGGAUCAUCCAUCAAUCAGAUUUCCAGUGAAUUGAGUGGAUGCAUGCUCAACUCACACUCAUAAAUGGCAAACCAUCCAUGUGGUACACUUACAUGGGAUGACCUAACAUACACGAGGGUGACUUUCCUUUUCCCAAAGCCACAGCCUGAUGCUGCCUCAAUCUUGCACAGCCAGAGAAUGAGGAGUUAUUGGUGAAGACAUUCUCGGGAUAAGCCAAGAUUCCCAUGAAACAUCUAAAUGGUUGCCAUUUAAACUUCUCCUGACUGAACCUCUUUCUAAAUGGGUUGUACACAGCUCUGUCUUCUUUAAGAGCAGGCGCUCAACAGAGCUCAACAGGCUUUUCUCAACAUUUCAGGGUCGUUCAUGUAUUCCUUGGUUGUUCGCUAGAUGGCAGGCCCUGUUCUAGCACUAGGAAUAACGACAGUGGCCAAGACAGACAUGGUCACUGGCUUACAAGUGAGUGAGGAAAAUCAAUCUAAUAAAUAUACCCAUAAUUCUUCACAGUUGGGACACAGGCAAGAAGGAAUAUAACAUUAUGACAUUCUGGAGGUAUAUAAGAGGGGAUCUGAAGAACAGAAAAGGAGACAAGAAAGGUUUAUUUGAGGAAGCGAUGUUAGGUUAAGACUAGAGGAGGGUAGGAGGAAGUCAGUGGAGAAGAAGGAAAGGAACAGAGCUUCAGGCAGAGGGAACAGCCAUUUCACAAUGGCUGGGAGGUAGGCGAGAAGAGAUGUGGCUGAGGGAAGCCAGUAUGGCUGGAACAGGGCCCCAUGAACAGUGGCCAUUGGUUUGGACUGAUUGCAGAGGUCCCCUCAAGGCUACUGCAGGGGUCAGGCACCGAUGCGAAGAUCUGCCCUGUCAAACCCAAGAUAGAUGCCAGCUACUCAUAGAGUGCUCUGCAGUGUGGGUGCUUAGAGAUGGCUCACCUGGGUUGAGUGCCAUAUUCUGUCAGGUUCCUGCUAUUCAGAACUACCACACAACUAUAGGAUGAUAGAUGUGGAAAGCUCCCAGAGAAACCUUCCAGAGCAGGAGUUAUGAUCCUGAUUGCACCAUAGGAUCACUUGGGAUGCUUAGAAAAAUACCUAUACUCAGACCGUACCCCAGAUCAAUUAAAUAUGCAGACAAGGGAUUAUGGUGUGGGUGUUUUGUAAAGCUCCUAGGUGAUUCUAAUAAGUAGAUAUGGUUGAGAAUCACUAUUCUAGUGCAAUCCUCUUUUUUUUCACAAAUUAAAGAACUGAAGCCCCUCUACACAAUUAUUAAUUUUAGAAAUGCACCCAUGUCCACAUUAUACACAAUAGAGAGUGAAGAAGGAAUAGAAGUCAUAGAAAUCUCAUGUUUAAAAUAUGGUAGUACUAACGGGAAAGUGGAUCCCACUCCCUCUUGCUUCAUUCAAAAAAGCAGUGUUAAAAAGUUUGAUUUAUAAGUUUUAUCAUAUGAAGAAAACAGUAUUACGGAUAGCCACAUGCAAGAGAAUAAAGUUGGACCCCCUCCUUUACACCAUACACAAAAAUUAACUCAUAAUGGAUCAAAGACUUAAAUGUAAGCCCAUUUUUUUAAAUCCCAACUCUUAGAAGAAUACAUAGGAGUAAAUUUUCAUGACCUUAAGUUAAGCACAACCUUUUUAGAUACCACAUCAAAAGCCCAAACAACAAAAUAAAAAAAUAGAUGAAAUGCACUGCAUUAAAAUUACAAAGUUCUGUGUUACAAACAAUACCAUCAAGAAAGUGAAAAUACCCACAGAAUAAGCUAAAAUAUUUGCAAAUCAUAUUAUCUGAUAAGGAGCUUGUAUCCAGAAUAUGCAAAGCACUCUUUCAACUCCAUAAUGAAAAGACAAAUAAGCUAAUUUAAAAAUGGGCAAAGAAUCUGAAUAGCCAUUUCUUCAAAAAAGAUCUAUAAAUGGCCAGUGAGCACAGGAAAGGAUGCCCAACAUCACUAGCUAUUAAGGAAAUGGAAAUCAAAACCACAGUGACAUACCACUUCACACCCACUAGGGUGGCUAUAAUAGAAAAGACAGAGAAUGUGGUGAGGUUGUAGGGAAAUUGGAACCUUUGUAUAUGUUGGUGAGAGUGUAGCCACUUUGGAAAACAAUGUGUCAGUUCCUCAAAAUGUUAAAUAUAGAGUUACCAUAUGACCCAGCCAUUCCACUCUUAAGCAUAUACCCAAGUACAUAUGCUUACAUAAAAUCCUGUACACCAGCGGUCCCCAACCUUUCUAGCACCAGGGACCAGUUUCAUAGAAGACAAUUUUUCCGCAGACUGGGGAGGGGGAUUUCAAGAUGAUUCAAGCACAUUACAUUUAUUGUGUACUUUAUUUCUACUAUUAUUACAUUGUAAUAUACAGUGAAAUAAUUAUACAAGUCACCAUAAUGUAGAAUUAGUGGGAGCCCUGAGCCUGUUUUCCUGCAACUAGACAGUCCUAUCUGGGGGUGAUGGGAGACAAUGAUAGAUCAUCAGGCAAUAGAUUCUUAUAAGGAGUGUGUAACCUAGAUCCUUCACAUGUGCAGUUCACAAUAGGGUUUGUGCUCCUAUGAGAGUCUAAUGCCUCUGCUGAUCUAACAGGAGGUGAAGCUCGGGAGGUAAUGCAAGCAAUGGAGAGCAUCUGUCAAUACACAUGAAACUUCACUCAAUACCCACCACUCACCUCCUGCUGGGCAGCCUGGUUCCUAACAGGCCAUGGACAGCUAUCCCUGCUAUAGAUGAAUGUUGGGGACCCCUGCUGUACAUUAAUGUUCCUAUCAACAGCAUUCAUAACAGCCAAAAAAUAAACUACCCAAAUGUUCAUAAACUGAUAAAUGGAUAAACAAAAUGUAGCAUAUGUGUGCAAUGGAAUAUCAUUCAGCCAUAAAAAGGAAGUCUUGAUAUAUACUACAACAUAAAUGAAUCUUGAAAACAUUAUGCUAAGUGAAAGAAGCCUAAAGACCACAUAUAGAAUGAUUUCAUUUAUAUGAAAUGUCCAGAAAAGGCAAAUCUAUAGAGACAGAAAGUAGAUUAGCAGUUGCCUAGGGCUGGGAGGGUGGAGGGAGUUGGGGAGUGGUCACUACACUAGUGCCCACGCUAAUGGAUACAGGGUUUCUUUUUAGGAUGAUGAAAAUGUUCUAAAAUUAAUUGUGCUGAAAAUUGUACAACUCUUGUGAACACACUAAAAACCAUGGAAUUGUACAAUCUAAAUGAGUGAAUUGUAUGGUAUGUGAAUUGUAUCCCAAU
rnacentral:lncRNA from 1 species